rnacentral:rRNA from 1 species
GCCUACGGGAGGCAGCGGUGGGGAAUAUUGCGCAAUGGGCGAAAGCCUGACGCAGCGACGCCGCGUGAGGGAUGAAGGUCUUCGGAUCGUAAACCUCUGUCCGCAGGGAAGAACGGUCACUGUGCUAAUCAGCAGUGAAUUGACGGUACCUGCAAAGGAGGCACCGGCUAACUCCGUGCCAGCAGCCGCGGUAAUACGGAGGGUGCGAGCGUUAAUCGGAAUUACUGGGCGUAAAGCGCUCGUAGGCGGUAUGUCAAGUCAAGGGUGAAAUCCCCGCGCUCAACGUGGGAACUGCCUUUGAAACU